rnacentral:misc_RNA from 1 species
AGUCGUAACAAGGUUUCCGUAGGUGAACCUGCGGAAGGAUCAUUACUGAUUUGCUUAAUUGCACCACAUGUGUUUUUUAUUGAACAAAUUUCUUUGGUGGCGGGAGCAAUCCUACCGCCAGAGGUUAUAACUAAACCAAACUUUUUAUUUACAGUCAAACUUGAUUUAUUAUUACAAUAGUCAAAACUUUCAACAACGGAUCUCUUGGUUCUCGCAUCGAUGAAGAACGCAGCGAAAUGCGAUACGUAAUAUGAAUUGCAGAUAUUCGUGAAUCAUCGAAUCUUUGAACGCACAUUGCGCCCUUUGGUAUUCCAAAGGGCAUGCCUGUUUGAGCGUCAUUUCUCCCUCAAACCCCCGGGUUUGGUGUUGAGCAAUACGCUAGGUUUGUUUGAAAGAAUUUAACGUGGAAACUUAUUUUAAGCGACUUAGGUUUAUCCAAAACGCUUAUUUUGCUAGUGGCCACCACAAUUUAUUUCAUAACUUUGACCUCAAAUCAGGUAGGACUACCCGCUGAACUUAAGCAUAUCAAUAAGCGGAGGA